CCGGGGAAGGGCAUCUGAAACUGCCCUGCUAGAGUACGGGAGAGGGAGGCGGAAUUCCCAGUGUAGAGGUGAAAUUCGUAGAUAUUGGGAGGAACACCGGUGGCGAAAGCGGCCUCCUGGACCGAUACUGACGCUGAGACGCGAAAGCGUGGGUAGCAAACAGGAUUAGAUACCCUGGUAGUCCACGCCCUAAACGAUGUCAACUAGGUGUAUGGAGGAUUUAUUCUUUGUGUAUCGAAGCUAACGCGAUAAGUUGACCGCCUGGGGAGUACGGUCGCAAGACUAAAACUCAAAUGAAUUGACGGGGGCCCGCACAAGCUGUUGAGCAUGUGGUUUAAUUCGAUGCAACGCGAAGAACCUUACCUGGCCUUGAC
rnacentral:rRNA from 1 species